rnacentral:misc_RNA from 1 species
CCUGUUGCUGUGAUUUUCUGCAUCAUGGGCACCCCAUUAUGAGCACCAACAACUCGGCUUCCAUCUGUGAUGAUAUCAACAGCACCUGAAACUGCAACUAUGGCACCACUUGCUUGAGCCAAAGACUUUGCUGCUUCCAUUGCAUCCGUUGACUCAUGGGAGCUGUCUACCCCCUUGGAGGCGCCCAGAGAAGCCUUAAAUAGCGCGAUGAUCUCCGACCCAUUUCCCCUAAUGACAGUGGGCUUCAUACCCACGAGCUCCAAGCAAGCGUUCAACCGGAAACCAGAAGCUCCGGCAGCAACGGGAUCAAGAACCCAAGGCUUCCCGAAUUUAUUGGCCAACACCACGGCUGCUUUCAUGGCUGGUAGCCAGUCAGAG